AAAGGUUUGGUCCUGACCUUACUGUCAAUUUUAUCUUAACUUACACAUUGCAAGUCUCAGCGAACCUGUGAGGAGACCCCCUUUAACUUAACCAGAAAAGGAGAUAAGUAUCAGGCACAGAUUCUAGCCUACAACACUUAGUAUUACCACAUCCACAAGGACAUGCAGCAGUGAUUAACAUUAUAUAUAAGCGCCAGCUUAAUUUAGUUAGAGAUAUCGAAAGCCGGCCAAUUUGGUGCCAGCCGCCGCGGUUACACCAGGGACUUACAUUGACAAUUUUCGGCGUUAAGUGUGAUAUUAGCCUACAAUAGAUUAAAAUUUUACAGAGAUUGAGUUGUGAUAAGCUCAUCUUCUGGAAACUCAAACAUGAAGAUUAUUUUAAUUACUGCUUAUGCACGACAGCUAGGACACAAACUGGGAUUAGAUACCCCACUAUGCCUAGUCGUAAACUUGAAUUACACCUACAAACGCCAGGGAAUUACGAGCCACGCUUAAAACCCAAAGGACUUGACGGUGAUCCAUCCAACUAGAGGAGCCUGUUCUAUAAUUGAUAAUCCCCGUUCUACCUCACCCCUUCUAGCCUAUCAGCCUGUAUACCUCCGUCGUAAGCUUACCUUAUGAAUGUCAAAUAGUAAGCGUAACUACCACCCGCAAAUACGUCAGGUCAAGGUGCAGCUAAUGUAGGGGGAAGCGAUGGGCUACAAUUUCUAUACUAGAAUAAACGAAAAGGCACAUGAAACUGUGUCUUAAAGGAGGAUUUAGCAGUAAAAGAGGACUAGAGUGCCCCUUUAAACAAGGACCUGGAUCGUGUACAAACCGCCCGUCACCCUCUUCGAUGCCAUUCACCUAAUAAAUAAUAUUAUGCAGCUCUUAAGAAGAGGCAAGUCGUAACAUGGUAAGCGUACUGGAAAGUGCGCUUGGAUACGC
rnacentral:ncRNA from 1 species